rnacentral:rRNA from 1 species
AGUCAAUAGAUACCCGGGUAGUCCAUGCCGUAAACGAUGAUUGCUAGGUGUGGGGGGUCUGACCCCUUCCGUGCCGGAGUUAAACACAAAUAAGCAAUCCACCUGGGGAGUACGGCCGCAAGGUUGAAACUCAAAGGAAUUGACGGGGGCCCGGCACAAGCAGUGGAGUAUGUGGUUUAAUUCGAAGCAACGCGAAGAACCUUACCAGGUCUUGACAUCCACCGAAUCCUGUAGAGAUACGGGAGUGCCCUUCGGGGAACGGUGAGACAGGUGGUGCAUGGUUGUCGUCAGCUUGUGUCGUGAGAUGUUGGGUUAAGUCCCGCAACGAGCGCAACCCUUGUGAAUAGUUGCUACGAAAGAGCACUCUAUUCAGACCGCCGUUGACAAAACGGAGGAAGGUGGGGAUGACGUCAAAUCAUCAUGCCCCUUAUGACCUGGGCUACACACGGUACUACAAUGGCCGUUAACAGAGGGAUGCGAUACCGCGAGGUUGGAGCGAACCCCGUAAAAACCGGUCCGUCAGUUCAGAUUGCAGGCUGAAACUCGCCUGC